rnacentral:lncRNA from 1 species
UGUUUGUAGAAUAAAAGUGUCAAUCCAAAUGCUGUGAAUACUAAUGUCUAUCAAUGUCUAUGUCCAAGUUUUAUUAUGAGAGUUUAACUUUAGUGUCUGUAUAUAUAGUGUUGUCAUGGAAAAUUCUAGAACACUCUAUAAUGGAACAUUGUGGAAAAUCCUGGAAAGUUACAACGGAAGUUUCUGGAAUAACGUAGAAGUUUAAAUUACGCAUCUUUUAUAAGG